UUUCUCUUUCAGAAGAGAAGAAAGAGAAGGCGGAGGAGGAGAGUGGGGCAGCUGGAGGGGACAGCGUAGAAGAUGAAGAGGACGAUGAGGAGGAUGAAGGAGAGGAGGAAGAAGAGACCAAGUCCAAUGAGGCAGCAUCGGAUGAUGUCAGUGCUGAGAAGGUGGAGGCAGACGAGGGGGGCCACAGCGUUGGCGACGGACACAAACAGGCCGUGAGGAAGAGGAGGGUACGGAAAGACUGAUGAAGACCAACGACAACAAAUGAAGCCUUCUCUCUCUCUCUCCUCCUCUCUCUCUCCUCCUCUCUCUCUCCUUCACUCUCUGUCUCUCUCUCUCUUUUUCUCUCUCUCGGUCUCUCUCUCCUCCUUUCUCUCUCUCUCUCUCUCUCUUCCUCCUCUCUCUCUCCUCUCUCCUCUCUGCAUGCCCUCUGGUGGUCCUAGUGACCAAGAUACUACCCCUCCUCCCCCAUCAGUCAAAUGUUCUCUCUAUCCGUUACGCCUCUCUCUAAGGCCAUCGAGGCUACCCUGACCCCCCCCCCCCCCCAACCCUCCUUUCUUCCAAAAUGAAUACUAUGCCCCCUCAUCUCCUUCCUCCUUCCCCCCCAUCCUCUUCAUCAGCUGCAACUUUCUAACCCCCCCUCUCCUCUUCAGCGUCCAGUCUUCCUGACUAUAGUUCCUAGUUCUGGUUUAUUGUUGACAUUUUGUACAGCUUCAGAAGUAUUCUUUUUAUUCAACCUGAAGUUGAA